AGUGAACGCUGGCGGCAGGCCUAACACAUGCAAGUCGAACGACAGCACAGGAAGAGCUUGCUCUUGAGGGUGGCGAGGGGCGGACGGGUGAGGAAUAGAUAGGAAUCUACUUAGUCGUGGGGGAUAACGGGGGGAAGGAGACGCUAAUAGCGAAUACGUUCAACGGGAGGAAUCAGGGGAGGUAAGGGGCUUGGGUGACUGAAUGAGACGGUGCCGGAUUAGCUAGUUGGAGGGGUAACGGCACACCAAGGCAACGAUCCGUAGCGGAGCUGAGAGGAUGAUCAGCCACACUGGAACUGAGACACGGUCCAGACUCCUACGGGAGGCAGCAGUAGGGAAUCUUCCACAAUGGGCGCAAGCCUGAUCCAGCCACGCCGCGUGAGUGAUGAAGGCCUUCGGGUCGUAAAACUCUUUUGUUAGGGAAGAAAAGCAGCAGAUUUAUCCACCCCUGUUCUGACGGUACCCAAACAAUAAGCACCGGCUAACUUCGUG
rnacentral:rRNA from 1 species